GAUAUGGGGAAAUCGAAAGCGCAAGGGGGGUUGUUUUACCUGUAACAAAUUGAUUAAUUGAGACACCGACUACACUGAAUACUUCCGUUAAGUCCGCAAAUUGCACCCAGAAGUCAAAUAUUUCUAACCGACGAGCCAGAAACAAAUUGUACGUUGGUAUACCACAGCAUCUGAUACGAAAUUCGGAUUUCCAUCACCAAACACACAAAUUUUGCAUGAAGUUCCGAAAUUUGAUAAUGAAAGAUUACUUCGGCAUAAAGCGUCCGAAACAAGCGUUAUUUCAGAUGAUUUUGCGAUUCGAAAAGAGUAUGAAGAUCUCAAAAUAGUGGUGGCAAAUUUUAUUGCAAUUUCUUGAAUCUCGUGAUUAUAAAUAAUUGUCAGCACGUUUCCUACAGUUCAAUCUACAAUUCACAUUUGAAUUAAGUCUUAUGAGAAAGCGUGGAGACACAAAUUUCUUCCAGGAAUUUCGCCAUGCAACCUCUACAGAAGGUAUUGCAAUUGAAUAGAUGUUUCAUUUGCCCAUUUAUUGCUUUAAGUCCUCAGGUAAGAAAUAUUAUAGUAUGAAGUAUACUACUAAGAAUCUGGGUUCACCCCAGGACAAAUAAUAUGCUGUUUAUAACAAAAGCGGGCUGCAAAGGGUUCAACAUUCUUUCGCGAUUAAAAAUAUGCAUGAAACACUCUCUAGCAGAUAGGAAGGGCUGGUGGUACUUUCACAUUAAAAGCUUGUUGAAAACGCUGCCAAUUUUAUUUUUAAUUGUCGAAUCUCUUCUCAAAUCAAUAACUCUUCAUUUUUCACAAUACACAUUCUAGAAAUAGAGUUUCGAACCCAAUAAUUCCUUGAAUAGACCUCCAUUACCCCCCACAUAAGCUGUAAGAGAAUUACCGAGGUAUACCGAAGUACAAAUUUCUGAACUCCAUAACUUGAAAACUGCUUGCUUUAGACUGACGAGAAGUGCUAAAUAAAAUAUUAUAGAUUGAGGUGUCGGGCCCGCUUGAGAUCUCUUUUUUGAUAGUUGUAAUUAAGAUUUUGAAAGUAAGAGUCCUAAGUGUGAAAUUAACAGCGUUUUUUCAUCUUGAAUAAAUAACGAAGCACAGAAAGUGAUUUGUGAUUUGAAAAUCAUAGCAAAAAUGAUGAUUUGUUAUUGGUGAUCAUAAAAGCAAAGAGUAACAAUAUAAUACUAUGAAGCUAAGCAUGCAAAUUUUCGGAUGUUACUUAACCUUGCUUUGUCAUUUCCAAAAACAUCAAAGUAAUGGACAAAAAAAUUUCGGCGUUUUCUUCUCACGCUAAAGGGCUUCAAGCAAGUGUAAUUUACAUGAAGUUCAAGGACCAAGAAGAUUGAAAUGAUGAUUGAUUAUGAUUGAAAUAUUGAGUAAGACACAAGGUAUUGUGGUUCACUUGAGAUGAUUAAGAAACCUUCGACCCCGAGUAAUUUAUUAAAUGAGAAUGAAACAAUCUGAAAGCACUAGGAGUUAACAAAAUUGACUGUUGAAGAAUUGAUUGCGAAAACAAUCAUUUUUAGAAGUCCCAGGAAAAAUUCAGUCAUAUGGGUAAAGUGAAAGUAAGACCUACAUCAAUUGUAUAGGUGUAACAACUCAAAGCAGGAUUUAAAUAGUAAUAGAACUACACUGAGUACAACAACGAUUUUGAGUUGAUUUUUCAACUAUUGCACUUAUGGAGUAAGAGGUUGAAAAUAUUUUAUCUCUUUCUUGUUAAGCUAAAAGACUUCGUUCCUCAUACAUUACCAUGGCAAACACCCUGUAAUGGAACUGAUCAAUAUAGAACAUACUAAGGCUGAAAACUCAAAUAGCAGUGGCAUGCUGCAGAAUGAAGAUAGUGCCUUUUUGAUUGUUCUUAUGCAUGGGUGAGAUUUUCAGUUUUCAUCAAAUAGGAUACACUGUAUUGAAUUGAAGUGAACCAAAAUCAUGAGUUGUUGUAACAUAACUAAAUUUUUGUUUCUUCUUUUGGAAGAACUAUUCUAUUUGACCAUGUUCCUGUACUGAAUAGGUUCCAUUUUUCAAAAGCAGUUAAUAUCUCCAAAGGAAUUCAAAAUACCGAAGACUGAUAUGUCAACUAUUUCAUGAGAUUUUGUAUGGGAUGAGGAAUCUGGUAAAACAAUUUGAGAUAAUUAUAGAAUGCGAUUAUCGAACGAACACUAGUUUAUCUCAGAGUAAAGUAUAGGAAUACAAUAAUUUAAAAGAAUAAUUGUUUGCUGCAUAAUAAAAAAAAAUAAAGCAAACUAGUAAAAC